rnacentral:rRNA from 1 species
CACUGUUGGUUAUGUGUGCCCAAGCAUUGAGGCAGUCAAAGUAGGCAAAUCCGCUUUGAUAAUGCUGGGAUGUGAUGGGGAGCGAAAUUUAGUAGCGAAGUAGCUGAUUUCACACUGUCAAGAAAAGUCUCUAUCGAGGUUAAAGGUACCCGUACCGCAAACCGACACAGGUGGGUGAGGAGAGUAUCCUAAGGCCAGCGAGAGAACUGUUGUUAAGGAACUCGGCAAAAUGACCCCGUAACUUAGGGAUAAGGGGUGCCACCAUCAGGUGGCCGCAGAGAAUAGGCCCAAGCGACUGUUUACCAAAAACAUAGGUUUCUGCUAAGUCGCAAGACGAUGUAUAGGAGCUGACGCCUGCCCGGUGCUGGAAGGUUAAGGGGAUCUGUUAGAGCAAUCGAAGCAGUGAACUUAAGCCCCAGUAAACGGCGGCCGUAACUAUAACGGUCCUAAGGUAGCGAAAUUCCUUGUCGGGUAAGUUCCGACCCGCACGAAAGGCGUAACGAUUUGGGCACUGUCUCAACAACAGACUCGGUGAAAUUGUAAUUCCGGUGAAGAUGCCGGAUACCUGCGACAGGACGGAAAGACCCCAUGGAGCUUUACUGUAGCUUGACAUUGGGUCUUGGUACUACAUGUACAGGAUAGGUGGGAGGCUUUGAAACCAGGACGCCAGUUUUGGCGGAGCCAUCCUUGGGAUACCACCCUUGUAGUACUGG